UUAUAAAACAUGAAAAGAGAGCCAUGCGUCAACAUGACUCCCUUACAGUGCAAACACCAUUUAAGAUGGUGACAGCCUUAUAUGAGAUUAAAAA
rnacentral:sRNA from 1 species